AUGCAGUCGAACGGUAACAGGAAGCAGCUUGCUGCUUUGCUGACGAGUGGCGGACGGGUGAGUAAUGUCUGGGAAACUGCCUGAUGGAGGGGGAUAACUACUGGAAACGGUAGCUAAUACCGCAUAACGUCGCAAGACCAAAGAGGGGGACCUUCGGGCCUCUUGCCAUCGGAUGUGCCCAGAUGGGAUUAGCUAGUAGGUGGGGUAACGGCUCACCUAGGCGACGAUCCCUAGCUGGUCUGAGAGGAUGACCAGCCACACUGGAACUGAGACACGGUCCAGACUCCUACGGGAGGCAGCAGUGGGGAAUAUUGCACAAUGGGCGCAAGCCUGAUGCAGCCAUGCCGCGUGUAUGAAGAAGGCCUUCGGGUUGUAAAGUACUUUCAGCGGGGAGGAAGGGAGUAAAGUUAAUACCUUUGCUCAUUGACGUUACCCGCAGAAGAAGCACCGGCUAACUCCGUGCAGCAGCCGCGGUAAUACGGAGGGUGCAAGCGUUAAUCGGAAUUACUGGGCGUAAAGCGCACGCAGGCGGUUUGUUAAGUCAGAUGUGAAAUCCCCGGGCUCAACCUGGGAACUGCAUCUGAUACUGGCAAGCUUGAGUCUCGUAGAGGGGGGUAGAAUUCCAGGUGUAGCGGUGAAAUGCGUAGAGAUCUGGAGGAAUACCGGUGGCGAAGCGGCCCCCUGGACGAAGACUGACGCUCAGGUGCGAAAGCGUGGGGGAGCAAACAGGAUUAGAUACCCUGGUAGUCCACGCCGUAAACGAUGUCGACUUGGAGGUUGUGCCCUUGAGGCGUGGCUUCCGGAGCUAACGCGUUAAGUCGACCGCCUGGGGAGUACGGCCGCAAGGUUAAAACUCAAAUGAAUUGACGGGGGCCCGCACAAGCGGUGGAGCAUGUGGUUUAAUUCGAUGCAACGCGAAGAACCUUACCUGGUCUUGACAUCCACGGAAGUUUUCAGAGAUGAGAAUGUGCCUUCGGGAACCGUGAGACAGGUGCUGCAUGGCUGUCGUCAGCUCGUGUUGUGAAAUGUUGGGUUAAGUCCCGCAACGAGCGCAACCCUUAUCCUUUGUUGCCAGCGGUCCGGCCGGGAACUCAAAGGAGACUGCCAGUGAUAAACUGGAGGAAGGUGGGGAUGACGUCAAGUCAUCAUGGCCCUUACGACCAGGGCUACACACGUGCUACAAUGGCGCAUACAAAGAGAAGCGACCUCCCGAGAGCAAGCGGACCUCAUAAAGUGCGUCGUAGUCCGGAUUGGAGUCUGCAACUCGACUCCAUGAAGUCGGAAUCGCUAGUAAUCGUGGAUCAGAAUGCCACGGUGAAUACGUUCCCGGGCCUUGUACACACCGCCCGUCACACCAUGGGAGUGGGUUGCAAAAGAAGUAGGUAGCUUAACCUUCGGGAGGGCGCUUACCACUUUGUGAUUCAUGACUGGGG
rnacentral:rRNA from 1 species